CUGGGCUUUCUGGCUGAGAUCACACUAAUCUUGAGGCAGCCUCUGAUGACUGACUGAGCAAGAUGUGAGAUAAAUAAACCUUUUGGACUCCUCACUCCACCUCGGCAUCAGCUUCCCAGAGAACCCAGCCUGCACCAUGACACCAUUUUUAACAACUGACAAUCAGGAGUCAUCAUGGAUUCCUCAUCUUCCAGAUGUGCAGGCUGAAAUAUUUACGGAUGAAACUGUCAGAUGCCUAGCAUUUGCUCCAUGAUAAUCUGAGACCUGCCCCGAAUACAGUACAGGAGCAUUUUCAAAGUACUUCCAGUGGGUGCCUUGGACAGCAGCUAAGAACCCCGGAGUAAAACGAGUUUCCUCUUCACUGUUACAACUCACAACUCAGACACCUCCUGAGUGAAAGUCUCAGGUCUGGGACACGCGGAGGAAUAUGCGAAGUUUUUAAGUCUCAGUCUGCGCCUGCGCACGUGAGCUCUACACGUCUGCCUCUGCGCCUGCGCCG